GUCUUCAACAUCUUGCAAUUUAGGUCAAGCAACAAGAGCAAAAUGCUUGUCAAGUGAAUUUCAUCCACACACAUGGUGAAAAAAUGGAAGUAAACCAAAGUAUUGUUACAGAACUUUGAGAAUUUACCAUAACCACUUUAUUCUUCCUUAGGAUAAUUACAAAUUAAAGGUUAUAGUAUAGGGCCAACUUCAAUUAAGGUCCUAACAUCUAUAAAAUUACAAUUUGAACUCUCACAAUUUCAGAGUUUCAAUUCAAAUCUUAGUAGA
rnacentral:misc_RNA from 1 species